rnacentral:lncRNA from 1 species
CUCAAAAAUGGUUGUUGUUGAAGCCUUUGUUAUCAAAAGGUGCAUGUGGAAGUAAGAUCAUAGUAACUACCCGUAGUCAACGUGUUGCUGAGAUUAUGGGUACUGUUCCUGCGCACAACCUAAGUCUUCUCGGUCAGGAGGACUGUCUGUCGUUGUUUUGCAAGUGUGCAUUCAAGGAAGGGCAAAUGGAGUUGAAUCCAAAUUUGGUUGGAAUUGGGAAAGAAAUAGUGGAGAAAUGCAAGCAAGUUCCUCUGGCAGUGAUUAACUUGGGGACUCAACUGUAUGGUAAGACUGAUGAAAAAGAGUGGGAAUCGGUGAGAGACAGUGAGAAGUGGGAAGAAGAGGGAGAUGGCAUUUUACCUGCCUUGAAAAUAAGCUAUCAAAGACUGCCGACUCACUUGAAAAGAUGCUUUCUUUAUUGUUCCGUUUUUCCAAAAGAUUAUGACUUCUUAGAUCUCGAAUUGGUGCAAUUUUGGAUGGCACAUGGGCUCAUUCUUCAAUCAUCAAAUCCAAAUGAGAACUUGGAAGAUGUUGGCUUGCGUUAUAUGCGCGAGUUGAUCUCAAGAUCUUUCUUCCAAGAUUAUAAGGUUGUGAGGAUUGGAGCUUCCUUUAUGAUGCAUGAUUUAAUGCAUGAUCUUGCAUCAUCAUUGGCUCAAAAUGAGUUUUCAAUCAUAAGCUCUCAAAACCACCAAAUUUCCAAAGCGACCCGUCAUCUGACAGUUCUUGACUCUGAUUUAUUUUUUCAUAAAACUCUCCCCAAGUUCCCAAACAACUUCCAUCAAGUGCGGUCAAUAGUCUUUGCAGAUAGUAUUGUGGGGCCUACAUGCAAAACAGACUUUGAGAAAUGUUUGUCACAAUUUAAGCAAUUGCGGUCUUUGGAAUUCAUGGAUGAUUCUGUAUAUGAGGCUUUUCUGGAGAGGAUUGGCGCCUUGAAACAUUUGAGAUAUAUCCAUUUGGGGAGGAACGCAAAAAUAAAAAGACUCCCAAAAUCUAUUUUCAAAUUGCAAAACUUGCAAGCUCUGGCAGUUACAAGUGACGGAUUAGUAGAGCUGCCCAAAGAUGUGAGGCACAUGACCAGCCUUAGAAUUUUAUUUCUAGUUACCCUGCAGAAGCGGUUGCCAGAAGGAGGGAUUGGGUGUUUGGAGUAUCUUCAAACUUUAUUCAUUGUUGCGUGUCAAAAUCUAGAAAAUUUGUGCGAAGAUAUGCAAGGUCUUAAAAGUCUUCGAAAAUUGGUUCAUUGUUGCGUGUCAAAAUCUAGAAAAUUUGUGCGAAGAUAUGCAAGGUCUUAAAAGUCUUCGAAAAUUGGUUGUUACUGGAUGUAAUAGCUUGAUUUCUCUGCCAAGAAGCAUAAAAUGCCUAACUACUCUGGAAGAAUUAUUUAUUAUCAACUGUAAAGAGCUUGAUUUGAGGAUGAUAGAAGAAAAGAAUGAGGAAAAAAUUCAACCUCUUUCCCUUUCCCUACGUAUUGUAAUAUUUGACAUGUUACCAUCAACUAUUGCUUUGCCAGAACAGUUUCUUCUAGGAUCUGCAGAAUCCUUACAAACAUUUAUCAUCAAAAGGUGUCCAAACAUUGGAGAAAUGCCACAGUGCAUCGGCAAUUUAAAAAAACUUCAAAAUCUUGAGAUAAGUGAUUGUCCAAGGUUGAGCAAAAAAUGUCGAAAGGGAACAGGAGAAGAUUGGCCCAAGAUCAAACAUAUCCCUAAAAUCAAGGUUGCUGAUGAUGACAAUGGUGAAGAAACAUCUGAUUAGGUGCGGGUUAUAAGUAUUUAAAUAUAUCAUAUUUAGUUUCACAUUUUUAUCCAUUCUUCAAUUCCUUUUUUUCCUUUUAAAUUCUUUUCAAUGUUUAUUUGACACAACCUCUUGUGGUUUGGAGGGGCAGGUUCAAGUGGAACUCCAUCAGAUUUAACCAGAGCAAAAGAAUAAGAUAAGGCAUGUCGUGGGUGUCAUGAUAAAAUACAAAGUUAACUAAUUCAUUCAACAAUUUAAAUUUCUUUGAACUUAAUACAUCAUUAUUAAAUUCUAUUUUUGUUUAAUUUCUUCAGGUUUACUUUUGUGAGGGUCCUCUCGGCUGAGAUCUUCUACAACAGUUUGUCACUUACGAAGAUCAACUUAAGGCUCGAAGUGUCUGUUUUGUGUAAUUUCCUUGGCUAGCUGUGUGUGAUGACUUGUCAUGAAUCAAUUGAUAAACAUUUGGUUGUUCUGAAUUUUGGUUUGCCUCUGUAUCUUAUUUAAAAUAUUGUGUGUGAUCAUUUAAAUAAUUUUGCUUAACAUAUAAAUUCCUCCUUCUAAACAAACUAAAAAGCUGAAAUAUCAAAGAAACUUCCAUUAGAGGUCUGCGUGACUAGCUAUCAUGCUCAGUAGCUUUUCUAUUCCAGUAAGAAAAAUGGAAAAUCAAAGAAACUUCCAUUAGAGGCAAUCAUAUGUAGGCUUCCAAAAGUUUGCUGCUGCUACCUGCAUAUUGCAACAUCCUGAUAGGUGUAUAGCCUGAAAGCUGCACUAUAAAUGUAAUCUGGUUCUUGAUGGGAAAAUAAACUUACUUUAGUCAUCGAGAAUCAACAACCUAGCUCUAAUCUGAUGGCUUCACUUUCAGUAAUUCCAUUUGAUCUUCCACGGUUUCUGAUCACAGUUAGUAUAUAAAACUCUCAGUCUUUUGAGAUGAUGCACAUCUUACUAACACAAGCACGUACACAUGGAGAGAUGAUUAUGUAAUGGAUACUACAUAAAUGCUGAAGAACAAAAUAAUAAUUACAAAUGUGAUUGGCACUCUAGUUGUCUCAUUAGACUGUAAUUGCAGAAGAGUGUUAGAUACCAUAUGCUGCAAUAACUGUACAGGGCAGUGAAAAUCUAUGGUAACAUGAACUAGCUAGUAACAUUACAUACAUAAGAGUUUUGGCAGCCAGAGUAAUGUAAAUGAUUCUGAUAACUGAACAACAUCAGCUUCAGAACUUCUUCCAUCGCUAAAACAAAAGGUGUUCAAUCACACUUGUAAGUAAUGGGAUACAAAUUAAGAGCUCAAUGUGAAUGAUUUGGAAGUAAUCUGAAAGUUUCCACUGGCCAUCUCAAUUUAUCCAUUACUAGACUGAGUAGUAAUGCAAACAUUUGGAAUAUGCACAAGUACAAAAACUAAUCCAUAUUCAAGUGUUUUUGUCUCUGAGCAAGUGAGAAUAAGAGAGGACGGUUGCUUUGGGGGUUGAGGAAGAGGAAGAUCAUCAUAGUGGGACAAAGGAGCAGGUAGUUUUAGCCUUUUGGGGUUAAUUUAGUUUCACAUCCUUGAACUUUUAUGUUUUUUCUAAUGCAUCCCUCUGUAUAGAUUAUUUGUUUUAAUAUAACCCUCCUCCUAAAUCUAUAUUUAUGGUCCGUUUGGAAACGCGAUCCAAACCGAGUUUCUUUAAAUUUUGAAAAAAAAAUUUACAUUUUCAUAUCAUUUUAAUGUGUUGAUCUCAAAAAUAAUUUUUAAAAAAUAAAAAAAAUUAUUUUGAUGUAUUUAUAAACAAAAAACAUUUUAAACCGCAAUCACUAUCACAAUCCCAAAUAUACCUUAUAAUAUAGCCCUUCUGUCCAGUUUUAGGCAUUUAAUGUACCAUCUUAGGUGAGCAAGAUAGUCCAAGCCAUGUUAACUUUUAUCCGUAUAAAACCCGACAAAAGUUAGGCAUGAGAGGGUCAAUCCAAAUUUGGCUACUUAGUUUCUAAUAAUACAAGUCAUCAACAUAACCCUUCCCAUAGAUGAAGGUGGUCUUGGGAUUAGCUAAUUCUAUGAUGUUUCGACUGCGUAUGAACUCAAGAUUUUAUGGUUUUACAAAUCGGUUUUUCAUCUCAGUUCGGUUUUUUCGGUUAUUCGGUUUUUUUGAACACCCCUAACCACAGUCAUCAAGAAUCUCAAACUUACUACAAUGUCUCAUUCAUGAGUUUCAAAGAUCGAAGGGACAUCCAAUAACAUAUUAAAAGUUUAUAAAUUUUUAUACUCUAUUUUUCAUUAAAAUUUGAAAUUUCUUUGCUUAAAUAAAUUAUUUUUUUAUUUUUAAUUUUUUUUAAUAUAUAACUGAUAAAAAAAAUAUUUUAAUAUAUUUUAAAGUAAAAAUUAAUACCUAACACACUUCAAAACCACCCCUUGAUCCUAACCAAUUUUUAUAAAACUGUUUUUUCAUUUUUUUUCAAACAAACAUUACCGCCGCGUACCUCGCCAUAAAAACAAGUGACUCAUCGACACAACCACAGCCACCGCCAUCUUCUUGCAAAAUAAAAUGACCCUCAAACAAAACUUCUAGCUUCCUAUAACUAGAAAAACCGAACUUUUAAUUAACACUAACAGCAGCCACUAGCAGCGCCGCCUUCCCUAUCUAUACCACCACAACCACCCCGACUCCUUCCCUAACAAGCUUUAAUUUAGCAUUAGUGACUUGAAUUUGUAUCAUCACUAUCCAGAUAUUCCUUGCGCAAAAGACAAGGAGUGCUCCUUUUUGUUUCGUUCAUGUCAUUUUCCUUGCUUCUAGGCCAAGAUUUAAAGCUAUUCCCCUCCACAUAUUUGCCUUAUCUCAACUAUCAUUCAUUCCAAGAAAUGGACAUUCUCUGUCAUCUUCACCUUCACUGUUAUCCCCUCAACCUUCUUGUUUUUAGCACUCAAAAUCUUUGCUGGAAAAUCUAUCAACAAUCCCAACUAUCCACCAGUUAAAUGCACAAACUUUAACCAACUUCUCCGCUUCGACAGGCUCUAUGGCUGCCAAACUGAGCUUAUCGUUUCUAACUCUGGAGUGUAUUGUGUAUUCAUUGAUAGUGUAUAUGGAUUUCUUUUAUAUAUAUAAAUCAAGUAUUGAACAUGAAAUCAAAGAAAAAAUAGCUUAGGCGGUCUCAUCAAACUAUAGAUGAAAGAUCUAUACUCACCAUUCGGAAAUUCAUUCACGACUAGGCUAUAAAUAGAUCUUCAAGAGAGAUAAAAUAGAAAGCUAAUAGAACCAUCUAAAAAUAUAAAGCAAGAUUUAUCUUAAGUGGGAUAGAACAAAAGAAGAGAGCUUGAAUUUGAUGAUCUGUAGGUAUUUAAUUCACUCUUGCCUUUUGUCUUCUUGUCCGUCUUUGACUCUGAAAGCACUCUACAGAUGGAUGAAGAUGGAAGAUACAAUUGAAAAGUAGAAUCUAGACUCCACACUCUUUUAGCAAAUUAAAAAGCUAUUUUUAAAAAAAAAUUAAUUUAAUUUUUUUUAACAAAAAUAGAUUUAAAAUAAAUCAUAAUAAAAAUUCAAAAUUUUUUUUAUAAAUUACUUUUUAAUUCACGGUACAAUAGGUAUUGGAUAAACAAUGAUUUUCUCUGUAUCCUUGAAAUAUGAAAGGAGAGGAAGAUGCUGCUGAUUAGUAAAUGACGUCAAUUAUAUGAAUACUCCAUCACCUAAUUAAAAAAAAAAGUCUCACUUCCCCACACAAAUAGCAUCCCAAGUAGCCAUUCAUAAUUUACAACGACAAAUAUAGCAAGCAAAAAACUAUUUAGAAGCUACAAUUUCUGUGUUGCUUUCAACUUUGCUUUCAUGGUUUUUUUCAUAAUUUUCUAAUUUAGUAUAUUUUAUAUAUUAUUGAAUUGUUGUAUUUUACUUUUAUAAUACGUCUAGUAGAAUAUUUACAUCUGCUUAUGAAAAACUUAAAAAGAAGGAGAAAAUUGAUAGUUUGAUUCACUUGUCAGUUCUUGAUUCAUCAAACUCUUCCAAAGUCCCCAAAUGAGUUCGAGUUCGAGCAUGUGUGGUCACUAUUCCAUGGGAGAAGCUACGACACAAUUGCAUAACUCUAAAUUAUUAGCAACUACUUGUAAAUUUAUUCUUUUUGACUUUUCGUCCCUUAAUUUUGUGAUCAAGAAGACUCAACGACUUCUCCUCUCCACUCAGAAAGCGGAACUCCACUCUUAUCUCAAUCAUUUCUGAGAAGAGAUUGAAAGCCAUCAACGCAGUGCUGUCCGAUGCUGAGCAGAAACAAUCAAAGAAUGACAGGAUUCGGUUCACAAAAGUCUUGCAUGAUGCUGAGGACAUGCUGGACGAAAUCGAGUGCAAUCUCUGUGUUGCCUGCUGCGUCAAUUUGCUUUCAACUUUUAUUUCAUGGUUUUUUUUCUUAAUUUUCUAAUUUAGUAUAUUUUAUAUAUUAUUGAAUUGUUGUAUUUUAUUUUUAUAAUACGUCUAGUAGAAUAUUUACAUCUGGUUAUUAAAAACUUAAAAAAGAAAAAAGAAAAAAUGAUAGAAUAUCCCUACUAAACGUAUUUUUUAAAUAAAUUUUUUUUUAAAGGACUGGUUUUUAUUGUUUUACAUCCUAAAAGGUAUAAUUUAACUGAUUAGACUUUUAAUUUGCUUCUCUGAGAUUACUAGUUUAAGUUCUACAAACCUCAGGGCUACUGGAAAUUUACAUGGUUAUUAAUUUUAAGGUCUCGAGAGAUUACUCAAGGUACGCAUAAGCUAACUCGGACACUCAUAGUAAAAAAAGAAAAAACAAGAAGAGGAAGGAAGGAAGGGCUAAAGGAGUUGUAUCCAAAUUUGGUUGGAAUUGGGAAAGAAAUGGUGGAGAAAUGCAAGCAAAUUGCUUUGGCAGUGAUUAAAAUCACAUGAGGACUCAACUUUAUGGUAAAAGUGAUGAAAAAAGAGUGGGAGUCGGAGAGAGAGAGAGAAGACGAGGGAGAUCGUAUUUUACUGCUUUGAAACUAAGUUACCGAAGACCACCGACACAAUUGAAAAGAUUAUGAGGAAGCAAUUUCCUUGGAUACCUCUAAAAUGCAUGAUCUUGCAUCAUCAUUGGCUCAAAAUGAGUUUUAAUUCAUAAGCUCUCAAAACUACCGAUUUAAUUUCCAAAACGACCCGUCAUUUGUCAGUUACUGAUUCCAUUUCAUUUUUUCAUCAAACUCUCCCCAAGUCCCCAAAUGAGUUCGACCAUGUGUGGUCAAUAUUCCAUGGGAGAAGCUACAACACAGUUGCAUCACUUUAAAAAUAAACUUCAAUUUAAAUAUUAUUAUUAUUGUUAAUUUAUGUGUUAAAUUGUGAAUUAGCGAAUAAUUUAAAUUUUGAUUUUGAGUGAAUUUAAUUAAUUAAAUCUGCGCCAUUAUGUCAAUAAAAAAAUAAUUAAAAAAAAUAUAAAAAAAUUCAAAACUUUUUAAUAACAUUUUUAAAACAUAAAAACCAACUAUCUUUGGAUUUGAUACCAAUCUUGUGGCUGGCCCAAAUAUAUGAUAGUUGUAAAGAUUUUCAGAUAGAAUUUGGAGCUGGUGGCUGUACAUCUUUGGCUUAGAAAGCACUUCUAUUAUAGCAUUCUACAGAUGGAUGAAGAUGAAAGAUACAAUUGAAAACUAGAAUAUGGACUCUACACUCUUUAGGUUAGCAAAUUACAGACCUAAUUUUUUAAAAUUUUAAUUUAAAAUGAUAAAAUUAACAAAAAUAAAUUUUAAAAAAUCAUAAUAAAAAUUCAAAAAAAAAAAUAGAUCUUUCUAUUAUAAUCCACGGUGCAAUAAGUGUUGGGUGAACAAUGAUUCCUUUCAUAUUCUUUAAUUUUUGUUAUUUCAUAAAGUUUAACAACAUGAUUUUUCACCAAAACUAUUUUUUUAAUAAUAUAAAAUUUUUUUAUAAAAAGCCAAGUGCAAUUAAAAAAAACCCAUCAAAUUCAUAAACUAGGAUAAUCUGAGUUAUUUCGACAAACUCAUAAUUCAUGUUAACCUCGUAAAAAAACAAAAUAAAAAAAAAACAAAUUACAAAAUUAAACUCUUAACCAUCUCACUAUUAUAAAAUAAAAUCAGCUAAAAUAAUUUUUUUUUUAAAUCCUAACAAUAAAAAAAUAUAAAAAAAUAUUAUAGCAAUCCGUGGUUUUGUAAAAAAAAAUUAAAGUGAUUUUCCUAAUUCAUCUGCACAUAUUUAAUCCAGAUAUGAUUAAAACUAGAAACUAACUCGAUUUUUUUGCGACAGCAGGUCGCCUAAGAAUAUGGUCAAAUAUGCGUGACUGUGUACAUUUUACAUGUAUAAAAGUAAACGGACCCACGCAGGUCCCUGUGUUUCAUGAUGUAGGCUGAACCUGUCAACACGUUAGAUGGAGGAUGCCUGCUGAUUAGUCAAUGAAGCCAAUUUGGUCUGUUUGCUCUGUUUGGUCUUUGCAAAAGUUAGGAAGUGCACCCAAAUUCUACGAACCCGUCCACAAACCAUUUAGAGUAAAAAAAUAAAAUAAAAAAUAAAAAAAGGGCAAACAAUGGUCAAAGAUGCGGGUCCAAGCCAAAAAAGUGCACCGGCUAAGCUCCUUUAAUGAAAUGGGCGCAUUUGGUGCAGCGGUAAGAGCACAUUAAUUCCACCAAAAAGAACUUUUAAAAUUAAAAUAAAUAACAAUGGUCAAAGAUAAGGGUCCAUGCCAAAGACAAUAAUUCAAACACAUAUCAGAAAAUAAGGCUUUUUUUUUUUUAGUGUAGGGCAUUUUUAUGAAGUUUUUUUUUUAAAAAUAUAUUAAAAUAUUGUUUUUUCUUUAUAUUUUUCCAUUAAAAUAUUUAUAAAAUACUAAAAAUAUUUUUUUAAAUUUUUUAAAAAAAUACUCAAAAUUUUAGAAAAACCGAUCGAAUUACUCUCCUCAACAAAGCUUAAAAUAGGUAAUGCUUUUACUAUUCAACCUCAUAAAAAAACUAUUCAUUUCAACAUCAUAAAACACUCAUCAAAUGUAUAAAAAUAAAACAACCUUAAAUGUAUAAAAAUAAGAUAACUUGUGCUAUUUCGAUAAGUCCACAAAUCAUACUAAUCUCAUAAAUAAAAAAAUAAAUAAAAAGAAAUUACAAAAUUAAAAUUUUAAUUAUCUCAAUAUUAAAAAAAUAAAACAAGUAAAAAUAAUUUUCAAAAAAUUAUAAAGAAACAAACUAUAUGAAAAGAAAUCACAUAAAAAAAGCCGAUGGAAAAAAACAUUGUAACAGUACAAUACCUUUCCCAUUCAUAUUUUGUAAUAAGGGUGUCUGUGUACAUUUAUUUGUAUAAAAGCAAAGGGACCCGCGUAGGUCCAUGUGUUUCAUGUUUGAAAGUAAGUUACCUAAGACUGCCGACAGCCUUGAAAAGAUGCUUUCUUUAUUGUGCCAUUUUUUUCAAGAUAUUAUCAGUUAUAGGAUGUUAAAAAUAAUUUUUAUAAAAUAAAAAAAAAUAUUAUUUUAAUUUACUUUAAACUAAAAAAUAUUUUAAAAAAUAAUUAUUCUUCUUCUCCUUUUAGUUCAUACAAUUUUGGAUGGCACAUGCAUUCAAUCAUCAAUCCAAAAAUCCAAAUGAUAGCUUGAAAGAUGCUGUCUUGUGUUAUGUGCGCGAGUUGAUCUCAAGAUGUUUCUUCCAAGAUUAUGAUGAUUUACCUUUUUUUUUUCUCAAGCUUUAAAAUGCACGAUCUUGCAUUAUCAUUGGCUCAAAAUAAAUGUUCCUGACUCCAUUUCAUUUUUUCAUCAAACUAAUCCAAAGUCCCCAAAUGAGUCCGACCAUGUGUGGUCAAUAUUCCAUGGGAGAAGCUACAACACAAUUGCACUACUUGUAAAUUUAUUCUUUUUGACUUUUCAUUCCUUAAUUUUAUGAUCAAGAAGACUCAAACGACUUCUCCUCUCCACUGUUCUCUCAAUCAUUUCUUCCUAUCAAACACUUCUCCCCUCACUCAAAAAGAAAAUGGCAGAUGCUUUUACAGCCGAGAUUGCACAAUCCCUUAUAGGGAAGUUGACAUUGCUCGUCUUGAAAAGAGAUUGAAAGCCAUCAACGCAGUGCUGUCCGAUGCUGAGCAGAAACAAUCAACCAAUCACAAGAUUCGGCUCUGGCUCAACGAUCUCACAGAAGUCUUGCAUGAUGCUGAGGACAUUCUGGACGAAAUCGACUGCGAAACUUUGCGAAGGCAGGUGGUGAAAACAACAGGGAGCACCAGCAGAAAGGUACGGCGCUUCUUUUCAAGCUCUAAUAAGAUUGCAUUCCUUUUAAAAAUGGGUCAUAAGAUAAAGAAGAUCAUAGAAAGACUAGCUAAGAUUUCAUCUCUUGAGUCUGAGUUCCACCUCAGCGAGCAGGCUAUUGAUUGUAGCCAUUUCUCGCAUGAGGAAACAGAGAUGAACCGAUCCUUUGACAGCUUUUCCGGUCUUAUUGGAAGAGAUGAAGACAAAGAACGCAUCACCAGCAUUUUAGAAGCACCUUUUAAGGUUGGUGGUGCACAUCCCCUUGUUCUUCCGAUUGUAGGAAUGGGAGGCUUGGGGAAGACAUCUCUUGGCAAAUCGGUGUGUGAUGCUGAAAAUGUAAAAAGUUAUUUUGAUCUGAAGAUGGAGGCAUGUGUUUCAGAUGAUUUUUCCUUGAAACAAGUGAUACAAAAGAUUAUUAAAUCUGCAACUGGGGAAAGAUGUGCGGAUUUGGAUGGGGGUGAACUUGAAAAAAAUCUUGAAGAAAUUGUGAAGGGUAAGAAAUACCUGCUUCUUUUGGAUGAUGUUUGGAAUGAAGAAGCUCAAAAAUGGUUGUUGUUGAACACUUUGUUAUCAAAAGGUGCUGCUGGAAGUAAGAUUAUAGUAACUACCCGUAGUCGACGUGUUGAUGAGAUUAUGGGUACUGUUGCUCCGCACAACCUAAGUCUUCUUGGUCAGGAGGACUGUCUGUCGUUGUUUUACAAGUGUGCAUUCAAGGAAGGGCAAAUGUAUCCAAAUUUGGUUGGAAUUGGGAAAGAAAUAGUGGAGAAAUGCAAGCAAGUUCCUCUGGCAGUGAUUAACUUGGGGACUCAACUGUAUGGUAAGACUGGUGAAAAAGAAUAGGAAUCGGUGAGAGACAGUGAGAAGUGGGAAGAAGAGGGAGAUGGUAUUUUACCUGCCUUGAAAAUAAGCUAUCAAAGACUGCCGACUCACUUGAAAAGAUGCUUUGUUCUGUUUUUCCAAAAGAUUACUUGUUCCGAGAUCUCUUAAUGGUGCAAUUUUGGAUGGCACAUGGGCUCAUUCUUCAAUCAUCGAAUCCAAAUGAGAAGUUGGAAGAUGUUGGCUUGCGUUAUGUGCGCGAGUUGAUCUCAAGAUGUUUCUUCCAAGAUUAUGAGGUUAGGGCAUUUAUAGCUACCUUUAAGAUGCAUGAUUUAAUGCAUGAUCUUGCAUCAUUAUUGGCUCAAAAUGAGUUUUCAAUCAUAAGCUCUCAAAACCACCAAAUUUCCAAAACGACCCGUCAUUUGACAGUUCUUGACUCUGAUUCAUUUUUCCAUCAAACUCUCCCCAAGUUCCCAAACAACUUCCAUCAAGUGCGGUCAAUAGUCUUUGCAGAUUGGAUAAUGGGGCCUACAUGCAAAACAAACUUUGAGAAAUGUUUGUUAGAAUUUGAGGAUUUUCCAGAGAGGAUUGGCGCCUUGAAACAUUUGAGAUAUAUCCAUUUUGGAAGGAACCCAAAAAUAAAAAGACUCCCAAAAUCUAUUUUUAAAUUGCAAAACUUGCAAGCUCUAGUUACAGGUGAAUGAUUAGAAGAGCUGCCCAAAGAUGUGAGGUACAUGAUCAGCCUUAGAUUUUUAGAUCUAACUACUCCGCAGAAGCAGUUGCCAGAAGGUGGGAUUGGGUGUUUGGAGUGUCUUCAAACUUUAUUAAUUACUAAUUGUGAAAAUCUAGAAAAUUUGUGUGAAGAUAUGCAAGGUCUUAAAGGUCUUCGAAAAUUGCUUAUUGGUGCAUGUGAUAGCUUGAUUUCUCUGCCGAGAAGCAUAAAAUGCCUAACUACUUUGGAAGAAUUAUUUAUUAUCUACUGUAAAAAGCUUGAUUUGAUGAUAAUAGAAGAAGAGAAAGAGGGAAAAAUUCAACCUCUUUCCCCUUCCCUUCGUAUUGUACUAUUUGUGGCGAUACGAGCAACUAUUGCUUUACCAGAACAGUUUCUUCAAGGAUCUGCAGAAUCCUUUCAAACAUUUAUCAUCAGAGACUGUCCGAACAUUGAAAAAAUGCUAGAAUGCAUCGACAAUUUAAAAAAACUUCAAAAUCUUGAGAUCGGUGAUUGUCCAAGGUUGAGCAAAAGGUGCCGUAGGGAAACAGGAGAAGAUUGGCCCAAGAUCAAACAUAUCCCUAAAAUCAAGGUUGACAAUGAUGACAGUGGUGAAGAAACAUCUAAUUAGGUACGGGUUAUGAGUAUUUAAAUAUAUCAUAUUUAGUUUCAUAUUUUUAUCCAUUCUUCAAUUCCUUUUUUUCCUUUUAAAUUCUUUUCAAUGUUUAUUUGACAAAACCUCUUGUGUUUUGGAGGGGUGGGUUCAAGUGGAACUCCAUCAGAUUUAACCAGAGCAAAAGAACAAGACAAGGCAUGUCGUGUCAUGAUAUAUAAAAUGUAAAGUUAACUAAUUCAUCCAGCAAUUGAAAUUUCUUUGAGCUUAAUACAUUAUUAUAAAAUUCUAUUUUUGUCUAAUUUCUUCAGGUUUACUACUGUGAGGGUCCUGUCAGCUAAGAUCUUCUUCAACAGUUUGUCACUUACGAAGAUCAGCUUAAGGCUCGGAGUGUCUGCUAUGUGUAAUUUCCUUGGCUAGGUGUGUGUGAUGAUUUGUCAUCAAUAAAUUGAUAAACAUUUGGUUGUUCUGAAUUAUUGGCUUGUCUCUUUAUUUUAUUCAACUUAUUUUAUUUAAAAUAUUGUUAAUUUUAUGAAGUUAAUUUUAUUAUUAUCACUAUUUUUAAUUUAUGUGUUAAUUUGUGAUUUAGUGAAUAAAUUAAAGUUUUGAUUUUGAGUGAAUUUAAUUAAUUAAAUUCGCAAAGAGGGUAUUGAAAUCAUGUAGAGAAUGAAGGAUUUUAUGUGAAAGCUAGGCAAUUUUUUUUUAUUUGCUUGUGCACGUUUGUUUAUUUUCGAUUUUGAAGAAUUUAUGUCUGUUUCGUAGGCUAAUUUUUUGGAUUAGGUAUAAUGUAGAUAUGUUGGAUCUAUCUUGCUUCUUAUACUGAACCUAUGAUAUUUCAGUGAUUUGAUUCUUCCAAUAAAGUCGACGAUUGCAUUAGGAGAAUCUCUAUGAUGUUCUCUGAUGAAUGUGAAACAUCCCCUUACCAUACCUUCUUUAUAAUGUUAGAAAAUUUUCUAGUUUUUAGAAACUUCAUGGAUGCUUGUGAUAGAUGACUUGAUAUAUUUCUAUUUGCAUAUUAUUAAAAUAUUUCUCAAAUUAAUCUCCCAUUAUUGAAGUUAACCUAACUCUAAUUACAUCUUCAUUCUAAUUCGGACAAUUAACGGAACUUAUCCUUGCAAACCAGGAGAGAAGGGAGGACUCAAGUUUGAUGGAUUCCUAAUGCCAAAGUAAACUAAAAACUCAACAUUUUGUCAUAAAAAUAGGGUUUUAGAUCUCUGUUAUAUUUGUCUACUCUACCUGAGGCAAGCAACACUCUUGCAAACUUUGACGUCGCCGCCUGAAAAAAAAUAAAAUACCACCGCUUACUACUAACAGCAACCAUUGACGUCGCCGCCUUCACUCUCUAGACCACCACAACCACCUCCUACUCUUUCGUUGAUAAAUUCACCUCUUUACAUCCACUUUCCAAAUCUUCUUUAUUUAUGUUAUUAUAGCACAAUUUUUAACCCUUCUUAAAUAUCUAAAAAAUAUAUUUUAACGAGAAAAAAAUAUUUCAGUUAACAAAUAUUUCAAAAAAAAAAAACAAGAAAAAAACAGAGAAAAAUUACUAUCAGUGGGGAGAUUGAAAGUCGUUAAAUAAUUGAAAAUUGGAAAGCUAAGGACCAAUUUGAAAAACACAUCAAUAUUUAAGGACUAUAUGUAAUGCAAUCAAGAUGAAGUUGAGAAAAAAUAAAGAAAAAAGGGUUGAAAUUGGAUAAAAAUAAAACAAUUAAAUAUGCAAGAACCAAACUUGAAAAGACACCAAACUUAAGGGACCUUUAAGAAAAAGAAAUUUUGCUGCAAUUCAAAACGUUGUCAUUUUGAAUUAAAAAAACAAAACUUAAAUGCAACCGUGUUAUUCUAUCAAUAAACAAAUAUGUUAAAAAAAUUGACAAAGGAAUAGAAAAAAUGCAUAAGAAAUUACAUUAUAACAUAUAUUAAAAUUGCUCUGUGUUUCACUGUGCACUGUGCACUGCACAGUGCAGUCCGCAGUAAAAAACUAAAUUAUUUUUUUAAAAAAAUAAAAAAAAAUUUUUGUUUUGUUUUUUUAUGCCUUUAUGAGUUUUUUUUUUGCUUUUUUUCUUUGUGUUUUUUUCUUUUAAUAGAUUUUUUUUGUUUAAUUUAGUUUGUUAAUGUUAAGUUUUUUUUUUAAUUUAGUUAUCAGACUUUCAUGACACGAAGCCCUAGUUUGACGGGUUAACCUGGUUUGACAAGUUAACUCAGAAUUUUUUUUUGCUUUUUUCUUUUUAAUUAAUUUUUUUCAUUUAGUUUAGUUUGUUAAUGUUAUAUUUCUUUUAUUUAAUUAUCAGAUUUUUAUGACACGUAUCCCAGACUUGAUGGGUCAACCCAGUUAUUUCUGGGUUAACCCAUCAAUUUUUUUUCUAUUUAGUUAUCAAACUUUCAUGACGCGAAUCCUAGGUUUGACGGGUUAACCUGGUUUGAAGGGUUAACCUAGUUGAUUCAAUUUUUUUUUCUUUUUCUUCAUUAGUUUUUUUCUUGUUGUUGUUUUUUUUUAUUUGUUUUUUUUUAAUUAAUCUAUUUAAUUAUCAUAUUUUUAUAACACGACCUUACAACUAGAUCUACAUCCAAGCCUAUUGGAUCUGAUAUUGUAGCCAAACCCACUUAAACUUGAGUCAUGCAAACUUAAUGUUAUUAUUAAUAUUAUAAGUAUUACUCCUGGGUCAGGCAUUGCAGUCAAACCCUAGACUCUUGGAUAUAAUUUGCAAAAAGACAUAACACUUUAAAAUCUUAGCUUUUUAUUUUUAUUUUUUUAAUGCAAAAAUAAUUGACCCGCGGCAUCGCGAGGGUCAUGUAACUUGUAAUAUACUAAAGUUGUGAAUAUAUCCAUGGACUUUAUAAAGUUUAAUAAUUUUUUUUUCUGAAACUAUUUUUUAAAACUAUAUAAGAAAAAAAAAUAAACGUUAAAAAAGUUAAGUUUAAUUAAAAAAAUAGUCCACCAAACUCGUAAAUUAAGACAACCUGAGUUACCAUAACAAAUCAUACUAAUCUUAUAUAAAGGUAAAAAAAAAUUCAUGAUUGUUUUCCAUCAAUAGCAAGUUUUAUAUUUUAAUCUAUUUUUUUUAUAAGAUGUAAAUGCAAAUUUCGUGAUUGUUUUUCAUUAAUAGGAGGACUUUUUAUUCUAUUUUUCUAUUAUAUUUUUAAAUCUGGUUUUUAACCUAAAUAAAAUUAAUUAGCAUCAUCACUAUCAUAAUUAAAAACUCUUGAGAAAGUUCAUAAGAUAGGAUAGGUCAUGAUCAUCUUUGAUCUGUGUUGCAUCUCAGAUUCUGAGAGAGACAUCACUUGCUUUUCUACCAGGAUUGUUUAUGCUAUUGUGCUUACUGCUUAGGAAGUUCUAAGUAAAGGAUAGAUUCUUUAGAAGAUUUUUUCCAAAGUAAGUAAAGGAUAAAUUUUUAAUUUUUUUUUCUUUGUUUUUUCUGCCUGGCCAUGCUCCAAAGAAAAUAUUUUAGGACUAGUUUGGGCCAUGGCCCUAACACUACUGGGCCCGUAGCCUAUUAAAACUCUGAAAAAUCCAUGAAUCCAAUAUCCUAGCAAAACCUUGAUAAACUCUCAUUGUUACCCUUUUUAUAUGGUUUUGUUGUGUAUAUUGUUUUUGAGAGUAUAAUAAUUAUUAUUUUAAAGUAUUUUUUAAAAUAUAUAUUAAAAUAUAUAUUUUUUAUUUUUUAAAAUUUAUUUUAACAAUAUUAUAUUAAAAUGAUAAAAAAAUACUAAAAAAUAUUAAUUUGAAGUAAAGAAAAAAAUAAAAAUAAAAUUUAAAUUUUUUUAAAAUGCUUGUGAAUUAAAAAAGAAACAAGGCCUAAAUAAUCAAAUAAGUUAAGAAUGUACUUGAUUUGUUAAACAAUAUUUUCCCUCUUCAGCAGCUUGAGAUUUGGGUAUAUAAGUAAAGAUUAAGUAAUAACAUCAAGGGUGGAAUUAUGAUUCAACCCUAAUUUAAUUUAAUUAAAAAGAUAUACAAAAUCAAAACAAAUUUAAUUCAUAUCAGUAUCGGCUAAGCUCCUUUAAUGAAAGCACAUAAAUUCCACCAAAAAAAACUUUUAAAAUUCAAAUACAUUUCAAUGGUCAAAGAUAAGGGUCCGUGCCAAUGACAAUAAAUCAAGCACAUAUUAGAAAACAGAUGCUUACAAAAUUAAAUAUUAAUCUAAAAAUAAAUAUUUAUUUAAUAUGAUUAUAUUUAGAAAGCAAACAAAAAUUAAUAACGCAGUCCAUUUCUCCACCAAUCCAAUAUUAAAUGAUAAAAUUGAGAAGAAAUAAAUUAAAAGAUAAAAAAAAACAUAUUAUAUCGGUGGGUAAACUUGUCAAACCUAUGAACCGUGUAAGCCAGGCUAGUACGUCAAACCUAUAAACUGAGUUAUAGACUCCACUAGGAUUAUAAAAAAAAUUGUAAUCUAUUUUUUAUUUAACUAUACAAAUAACAAAAAUAGAUGAUUAUAAAAUCAAAUACAAUCCCAAUAAUGAGAUGUUUUUUAGAUAACGAUAACCUCAUAAAAGGAAAAACUAAACCAAUUAUGAAACUAAAUUCCCAAUUAAUUUAGUAUCUAAGGAUGAAAAAAAUAAUAAUUUAAAAAAGUUAAACUUGCUAGACUCGCGAACCAAGUCAAUCAACUAAACCUGUGAAUAGACCCACAAACUUUAUAAAGUUUAAUAACAUAACUUUUUUCUAAAACUUUUUUUUUUUUAACUAUAUGAGAAUAAAAUAGAAGAUAAAAAAAUUUAAGUUCAAUUAAAAAAAACUAAACCUGUAAAUCAAGGCAACCAGGGUUACCAUAGCAAACCCGCAAACCAUGCUAACCUUAUAGAAUGGUAAAAUAAAAAGAAACAAAUUUUGAAGCCAAAUUCUUAAUCAUCUCAAUAUUAAAAGAUAAAAUUAACAAAAACAAAUUAAAAAAAAUCAUGAUACAAAUUCAAAAACAUAAAUGUCGCACCCUCACAGAGGAGUGCGGCGACCCUGGAUUGAUUUUGGUUGUUUUUUUGUUUUGUGUAAAGGAGCCGCCACCUAGUAUUUUGAUCACUAGGAAUCCUAACUAGUCUUUUAGAGAUUCUAAGACAAGGGACUGGUUGUGUAAAGGGAAGGUAUUAGCACCCCUAGUACGCCAUACCUAAGGUAAGUUGCUUGGUGUUUGGUUUGUUUUAUAAUUGCUAUGGUGUUGGUAUUUUCUAAUCCCAUCAGUUUUUCUAGGUUUGAUUCAAACUAAAUUUAUUAAGAUAGAAAUCCAAGGAGAUUCCAUGUGCUUUAAUAGCUCAUUUUUCCCUUAGUAUUUCAAGAGUUUGCGACUCGUAAAUCGCGAGGAGGGAAAAAAAUUUAGAAAUCUAGGGCGCUUAAAAAAAAAACAUAUUUUUGCCUUAGUGUUUUAUACUCUCACGACUCGUAAACCGUGGAGUAAAAAAUUGAAAUGUCCUCGAUUAUAAUCAAGGCUUCUUUCAAGGAUGUGUGAAGAUUUAUUAUUCCUAGAAAAUUAUUUUGGAUAUUUACCACUCAGGGUUUCUUUAUCCAAAUAUUAACAGUGAAUAGUAACAAAUUAUUCCCAAUAAUAUUUUGGAUAUUCGUCCUUUAAGGAUUUCUUUAUCCAAACAUUAGCGGUGAAUAAUCGAUGAAUUCCCCCCAAAAUAAGAUUUUUAUAUUUUUUGGAAUAUUGACCAAUACUUUUUAUAAUUUUACAAACAUGUUAUAAAAACUUCGAAUAUUUUUUGUAUAUAAAACAAAUAUUUAAAACAUGUUAGGGUAUUGGCCGUAAGCAACACACAAGAAAACAUUUUUUUUUAAACAGGAAUAACACGAUUACACAAACAUCACAAAAAAAUAUUCGCCUAUUCCAAAAUUCACAAGAAGCUUAAAACAAUUCAUCUCAAAUAAAUAAGGUUCGGGACACCAAUUUAAAACACAAGUCAGUGUGCACAAAAAAAAAAAAAAAAAAAAGUCCUAAAGCUAAAAAAAAAUUACAACAUGAACCGUGACCCCCCCUGCAAACUCAAAAAAAAAAAAAAAAACAAAGAAGAAAGUGUGUGAACCCAGAAUUGGCAUAAAAAAAGAAUCCUUAACUGAAAAAAGGGACCCUCCCUCACGUUUUUUCAAACUCUCUCUUCUGUACCUAAACACCUGUUUCUAUAUAGCGUUCCAUUGCAAGAAAACACUUGAGCGAAGGGAGAAAGGGAUGGUGGAGACUCUUAAAGCUCACAGUUUCUCAUGACCAGGGAGUAAAACACAAAAACGCAGCUUUAACAAUGAUAAUAAACUAAACUCAAAGACAGUGGGCAAGCAAGCCAUUUUGUUGCUAAGAUGGCUAAGAUGGAAAAUGAACGUCCCCGAAACAAAAAUAGAAACAGAUUUUUUUUUGAAAAAAAACCAAAUAAAUAGCUUUAAAUAUGUCAAAGAUGAAGGAAGUCGAGACUCAUACCUGCAGAUCCUGCACGUUUCAAAUGCAGAAGAUAAGACACAAACCGAUGGAAAAGCUUUUGCCUUUUGCCUCUGAAAAACCAAAGAAAGACUUCCUCUUUUGUUCUCUUGGCUUUUCUAGUUUUACUGUCGCCUGCCUCUAUUUUCUCCUCUCUGUUUUUUUCUCUUAAACAGUGAUGAAAGGAUCAAAGAAAGAACCCCUAUAUUCCCCUGUUAUCUGCGUUUUUUCUCCUUGCCUCUCUUGCAUUUUUCUUUUCUUUCUUUUGCUGUUUUUUCCUGCUCUUCUCUCCGGUGUUUCUCCCUUUUUUCCUAGGUCAUUAGAUGGGCUUAUAUAGUCUAACAUAUCUCUAUUUAGGAAAGAUUUAAUGCAUUAAUUCUAGAAUGCAAAUCCCUACUGAUCGGCAGUAAAAAAAAAAACGCAAAAGGAAACUAAAAUAUCCUGAUUCUAAUGUCUGAUUUCUUUCCAGUUUUUUAGAGGAUAGUGUGGCUUCUUUCUUUCCUUCAAUAGGUUCAGCUGCUCCCUUUGAAAUGAGGCAAUAAAACGUGGUUGCAGCUCCAAAAAUCAGGUGUGAUGAUAAAGGAAAACAUUAGGAAUUUGCAGAGAAAAAAGGAAAGAACUCAACCGGGAAGGUUUGUGUAGGAAAGAAAUGAAACGGGGGAGGGGUUGUUCUCAAAAUAACAAUCGUAAAAAUGAGAGCAAAACGUGAUCAACUCCCCUAUCUAGCUUUCAAUAUCCUUCUUCAAUUAAAUCCCUCAUUUUAGCACUUUUCGAUUUAGUCCUUGGUCCAAAAAAAUCCUUCGAAUCAGUCCUGCAAACUUGGGCUAAACCCUUUCUGCGGUAGGAUCCUCUGCUUCCACAUUCAAACAGGAAUAUAUUGAGCUUCUGAUAUCAAAAUCAAGUGAUUCAAAAGUCCAAAUUUAUCUACGCGUCUAGGACUACAACUUUGAUAAAGGAGUCGAAGUGAGAUAAAAUCAUUUUAGAGAACAGAAUCUGGCAGUAAUCUAGUUGAUCAAAAAGGAUCUCCGGGUCUAAUUUAGAAACUGACAAUGUUGAGAAUCUUGAUAUGACUGAGAAUAUGAUCUAAGAACAAAUCAAUAAAAUUUUUGAUGAAAAUAGAGUUUUUAGUGCAAAACUCAGGUUAGGAUCCUUCUCGCGGCAGAAUUCUCUACCUUUACGUUAGAACUUCAAACGAGAAUAUCUUGAGCUUAUGAUAUCGAAAUCAAGCAAUUCAAAAGUCCAAAUUUAUCUACAUGUCGAGGACUACAACUUUGAUGAAGGAGUCAAAGUGAGAUAAAAUCGUUUUAGAGAACAGAAUUUGGCAGUAAUCUGAUUGGUAAAAAAAAGGAUCUCCGAGUCUAAUUCAAAAACUGACAAUGCUGAGAAUCCUAAAAUGACUGAGAGUAUGAUUUAAGAACAAAACAACAAAAUUUGUGAUGAAAAUAGAGUUUUUUUAGUGCAAACCUAGGGUCAGGAACCUUCUCGCGGCAAAAUUCUCUACCUUCAUGUUAGAUAUUAAAACGAGAAUAUCUUAAGCUUCUGAUAUUGAAAUCAAGCGAUUCAAAAGCCCAAAUUUAUCUACAUGUCUAGGACUACAACUUUGAUUAGAGUCAAAGUGAGAUAAAAUCAUUUUAGAGAACAGAAUUUGACAGUAAUCUAGUUGGUUAAAAAGGUUCUUGAUCUGACAACGCUGAGCAUCCAAAUCUGACUGAGAAUCUGCCCUAAGAACAAUGAUCCCUAGGACUUAAUAAAGGUGUAGGUCAAUUUUUCAACAUGUCAUGAGUGACAGAAUAUAGCUAGGAUGGUCAGAUAUCGUACGAAACCAAGUCAGAAUCAGAGCCUAAGUUGGAACAAAAAAAAUUACGACAGCAGCAAAACCAUUUUUUUUAGUGCAAAUUCUGAGGGAUUUAUCCAACUUUAAAGACCAGAUAAAGAAGGAACGAAUUUAACAUUAUGAAGACUCCUGAUCAACCUAAGAAAACCUGACAAUUUGGGUAGUAAAGGGAAAGGAUAAAAAGAGCAGAAAACAGCUCAAACACGGUUUUGAAAAAAAAAAAUUUUAUUUCUCUGCUUUUUGUCAAUCUUCUGGCGAACAUGAGCUAAACUCCUACACUCAAUUCAAAAGAGGUAUGCACCGUCUCCAACACGUGGGGUCCAAAAUUGAGUAACAACAAUAAAGAAAAAAGAAAGAAAGCAAAACAACCGUGGGUUACUAUUGUCAUUCACGGUGCAAUGCGUGUGGGUGAACAAUGGUUUCCUCACACCCUUUAAUUUUUGUUACUUUAUAAAACUUAAUAACAUGACUUUUCUCUCAGACUAUUUUUUAACCAUAUGAGAAAAAAAAAUAAACUAUAAAAAAAGUUAAGUUCAAUUAAAAAGUCAUAAAAUCUAUAAACUAAUACCACCCACAAACCAUGCUAACAUCAUGCAUAGAAAAAAUAAAAGAAAAAAAUUACAAAACUAAAUUUUCAACCAUCUCAAUAUUAAAAAAUAAAACCAGCAAAAAUAAUUUAAAAAAAAUCAUAAAAAAAAUAUAUGAAAAGAAACCAUAUAUAUAUAAAAAACCAAUGUAAAAAAACAUUGUAACAGUACAAUACUUUUCCCAUUCAUUUAGGUUUUCUUUGUCAUAAUGGGUGACUGUGUACAUUUACAUGUAUAAAAGCAAAGGGACCCACGCAGGUCCCUGUGUUUCAUGAUGUAGGCUGAACCUGUCAACACGUUAGAUGGAGGAUGCCUGCUGAUUAGUCAAUUAUAUAAAUUCUCCAUCACCUAAAUUAAAAAAAAGUCUCACUCCCCCCACACAAAUAGAAUCACAAGUAGCCAUUUCAUAAUUUACAACGACAAAUAUUGCAAGCAAACAACUAUUUAGAAGUUACGUACAAUCUCUGUGUUGCCUGCAGCGUGAAUUUGCUUUGAACUUUUAUUUCAUGGUUUUUUCUCUUAAUUUUCAAAUUUAGUAUACUUGAUAUAUUAUUGAAUAGUUGUAUUUUACGUUUAUAAUACGUCUGGUAGAAUAUUUAAUCUGGUUAUGAAAAACUUACAAAAAAAAAAAGAAUCUAGUAGAAUUAUGCAAGUGUAUUUUUUUUUAAAAUAAUUACAACACUAGCUAUUGUUGUUUUAUAACCCUGAAAAGUGUAAUUUAAUUGAUUAAAUCCUGAGUUUGUUCAUCAGAAGUUAUUAGUUCAAGUGUUACAAACCUUAAGGCUACUAAAAACUUACAUGGUUAUUAAUUUCAGGGCCUUUAGAGAUUAGUCGAGGUGUGCAUAAGCUAACCUGCACACUCACAAAAAAAAAAAAGAAGGAAGGGCAAAAGGAGUUCCAUCCAAAUUUGGUUGGAAUUGGGAAAGAAAUAGUGGAGAAAUGCAAGCAAAUUCCUUUGGAAGUGAUCAAAAUCACAUGGGGACUCGACUUUAUGGUAAAAGUGAUGAAGGAAUCGGUGAGAGAUAGUGAGAAGUGGGAAGAAGAGGGAGAUGGUAUUUUACCUGCCUUGAAAAUAAGUUACCAAAGACCGCCGACACAUUUGAAAAGAUUAUGAGGAAGCAAUUCCCUUAGGUACCUUUAAAAUGCAUGAUCUUGCAUCAUCAUUGGCUCAAAAUGAGUUUUAAAUCAUAAGCUCUCAAAACCACCGAUUUAAUUUCCAAAAUGACCCGUUAUUUUUCAGUUACUGAUUCCAUUUCAUUUUUUCAUCACUCUCCCCAAGUCCCCAAAUGAGUUCGACCAUGUUUGGUAAAUAUUCCAUCGGAGAAGCUACAAGCCUACAACACAGUUGCAUCACGUUAAAAAUAAACUUCAAUUUAAAUAUUAUUAUUAUUAUUAAUUUAUGUGUUAAUUUGUGAUUUAGUGAAUAAUUUAAAGUUUUGAUUUUGAGUGAAUUUAAUUAAUUAAAUCGGCGCCAUUAUGUCAAUAAAAAAAAUAUUUUAAAAAAUUGAAAAAAUAAUAGAAAAAAUGCAUCAGAAGAAAUUGAUUUCCAAAAAGAGUCCUAAAUGUUCUCUUAUUGUAAGAUUAAGUUUUACUUGGCAAAAGCAUAUCAACGCUGAAAAUGGUUAAUCAAAUGGAUAUACAGAUAUCUGUACAUUUAUAAGAGCAUAAGAACAUGUUUGGUAUUAUAUAUAAAAAAACCUUUUUAUAUAAAAAUAUAUAAAAAUAAUAUUUUUUUAUUUUUUAAAAUUUAUUCUUGAUUAGCAUAUUAAAACGAUGUAAACACAUAAAAAUAAAAAAUAUAUUAAUUUUUUAAAUACAAAAACGAACUACCCCUAAUUUGAAAACUAUAAUAUGGGCUCUGGCUCCAUAUGCUCAGAGAAGUCUUGUGUGAUGCAGAGGACGUGCUCGAUGAUUUUGAGUGCGAAAUUUUUCAAAGCCAGGAGUUGAAAACUAAAGGGAGCACCAGCAGAAAGGUACUACACUUCUUUACAAGUUCUCCAUUCCGUUUACUAAUGGGUCAUAAGAUAAAGAAGAUCAUAGAAAGACUAGGUGAGAUUUCAUCUCUUAAGUCUGACUUCAACCUCAGCGAGCAGGCUAUUGAUUGUAGUCAUGUCUCGCAUGAGGGAACAGAGAUGAACCGAUCCUUUGAGACCUUUUCCGGUCUUAUCGGACGAGAUGAAGACAAAGAACGCAUCAUCAACCUUUUAGCAGAACCUUUUAAGGUUGGUGAUGCACAUCCCCUUGUCCUUCCGAUAGUAGGAAUGGGAGGCUUGGGGAAGACAUCUCUUGCCAAAUCGGUGUGUGAUGAUGAGAUUGUAAACACUCAUCAUUUUGAUCUGAAGAUGGAGGCAUGUGUUUCAGAUGAUUUUUCCUUGAAACAAGUGCUACAAAAAAUUAUUAAAUCUGCAACUGGGGAAAGAUGUGCGGAUUUGGAUGGGGGUGAGCUUAAGAAAAAACUUGAAGAAAUUCUGAAUGGUAGGAAAUACUUGCUUCUUUUGGAUGAUGUUUGGAAUGAAGAUGCUCAAAAAUGGUUGUUGUUGAAGCCUUUGUUAUCAAAAGGUGCUGGUGGAAGUAAGAUUAUAGUCACUACCCGUAGUCAACGUGUUGCUGAGAUUACGGGUACUGUUGCUGCGCACAACCUAAGUCUUCUUGGUCAAGAGGACUGUCUGUCGUUGUUUUACAAGUGUGCAUUCAAGGAAGGGCAAAUGGAGUUGCAUCCAAAUUUGGUUGGAAUUGGGAAAGAAAUAGUGGCGAAAUGCAAGCAAGUUCCUCUGGCAGUGAUUAACUUGGGGACACAACUGUAUGGUAAGACUGAUGAAAAAGAGUGGAAAUCGGUGAGAGACAGUGAGAAGUGGGAAGAAGAGGGAGAUGGUAUUUUACCUGCCUUGAAAAUAAGCUAUCAAAGACUGCCGACUCACUUGAAAAGAUGCUUUCUUUAUUGUUCCAUUUUUCCAAAAGAUUAUGAGUUCGCAGAUCUCUUAUUGGUGCAAUUUUGGAUGGCACA